AGAGUUUGAUCAUGGCUCAGAUUGAACGCUGGCGGCAUGCCUAACACAUGCAAGUCGAACGGAAACGAUGGAAGCUUGCUUCCAGGCGUCGAGUGGCGGACGGGUGAGUAAUACUUAGGAAUCUGCCCAGUAGUGGGGGACAACUCGGGGAAACUCGAGCUAAUACCGCAUACGACCUACGGGUGAAAGUGGAGGAUCUUCGGACUUCACGCUAUUGGAUGAGCCUAAGUCGGAUUAGCUUGUUGGUGAGGUAAAGGCUCACCAAGGCGACGAUCCGUAGCUGGUCUGAGAGGACGAUCAGCCACACUGGGACUGAGACACGGCCCAGACUCCUACGGGAGGCAGCAGUGGGGAAUAUUGGACAAUGGGGGCAACCCUGAUCCAGCAAUGCCGCGUGUGUGAAGAAGGCCUGCGGGUUGUAAAGCACUUUCAGUAGAGAAGAAAAGCUUACGGUUAAUACCCGUGAGUCUUGACGUUACCUACAGAAGAAGCUCCGGCUAACUCCGUGCCAGCAGCCGCGGUAAUACGGAGGGAGCGAGCGUUAAUCGGAAUUACUGGGCGUAAAGCGCGCGUAGGCGGCUUUGUAAGUCGGAUGUGAAAGCCCAGGGCUCAACCCUGGAAUUGCAUUCGAUACUGCAUGGCUAGAGUAUGGUAGAGGGAAGUGGAAUUUCCGGUGUAGCGGUGAAAUGCGUAGAUAUCGGAAGGAACACCAGUGGCGAAGGCGACUUCCUGGGCCAAUACU
rnacentral:rRNA from 1 species